rnacentral:rRNA from 1 species
CCUACGGGAGGCUGCAGUAGGGAAUAUUGCUCAAUGGGGGAAACCCUGAAGCAGCAACGCCGCGUGGAGGAUGAAGGUUUUCGGAUUGUAAACUCCUUUUGUUAGAGAAGAUAAUGACGGUAUCUAACGAAUAAGCACCGGCUAACUCCGUGCCAGCAGCCGCGGUAAUACGGAGGGUGCAAGCGUUACUCGGAAUCACUGGGCGGAAAGAGCGCGUAGGCGGGAUAGCAAGUCAGAUGUGAAAUCCUAUGGCUUAACCAUAGAACUGCAUUUGAAACUGUUAUUCUAGAGUAUGGGAGAGGUAGGUGGAAUUCGUGGUGUAGGGGUAAAAUCCGUAGAGAUCAAGCGGAAUACUCAUUGCGAAGGCGACCUGCUAGAACAUAACUGACGCUGAUGCGCGAAAGCGUGGGGAGCAAACAGGAUUAGAUACCCCUGUAGUC